rnacentral:rRNA from 1 species
UACGUAGGGGGCAAGCGUUGUCCGGAUUUAUUGGGCGUAAAGCGCGUGUAGGCGGCUUAGCAAGUCGGGCGUGAAAGCCCUCGGCUCAACCGAGGAAGUGCACCUGAAACUGCUGAGCUUGAGUGCCGGAGAGGAUGGCGGAAUUCCCCAAGUAGAGGUGAAAUUCGUAGAUAUGGGGAGGAACACCGGUGGCGAAGGCGGCCAUCUGGACGGUAACUGACGCUGAGACGCGAAAGCGUGGGUAGCAAACAGG